rnacentral:rRNA from 1 species
AACGAACGCUGGCGGCGCGUUUUAAGCAUGCAAGUCGAACGGUAGCGGUAGCAAUACUGCGAGAGUGGCGCACGGGUGAGUAAGACGUAGGUGAUCUACCUUUGGGUGGGGGAUAGCCCAUGGAAACAUGGGGUAAUACCGCAUGAGGCCUUGCGGGUGGAGCCGUGAGGUUAAAGGAGCAAUUGUUCCGCCUGGGGAUGAGCCUGCGGUCCAUUAGCUAGUUGGCGGGGUAAGAGCCCACCAAGGCGACGAUGGAUAGCCGGCCUGAGAGGGUGUACGGCCACACUGGGACUGAGACACGGCCCAGACUCCUACGGGAGGCAGCAGCUAAGAAUCUUCCGCAAUGGGGGAAACCCUGACGGAGCGACGCCGCGUGGGCGAUGAAGGCCGGAAGGUUGUAAAGCCCUUUUCUUGGCGAAGAAUAAGGCUGGCAGUGGACUGGCCAGUCGAUGACGUUAGCCGAGGAGUAAGCCCCGGCCAAUUACGUGCCAGCAGCCGCGGUAACAC